CCAGCAAUGCCGCGUGAGUGAUGAAGGCCUUAGGGUUGUAAAGCUCUUUACCAGGGAUGAUAAUGACAGUACCGGAGAAUAAGCUCCGGCUAACUCCGUGCCAGCAGCCGCGGUAAUACGGAGGGAGCUAGCGUUGUUCGGAAUUCUGGGCGUAAAGAGUACGUAGGCGGUGAUUCAAGUCAGAGGUGAAAGCCUGGAGCUCAACUCCAGAACUGCCUUUGAAACUAGAUCGCUAGAAUUGUGGAGAGGUUAGUGGAAUUCCGAGUGUAGAGGUGAAAUUCGUAGAUAUUCGGAAGAACACCAGUGGCGAAGGCGACUAACUGGACACAUAUUGACGCUGAGGUACGAAAGCGUGGGGAGCAAACAGGAUUAGAUACCCUGGUAGUCCACGCCGUAAACGAUGAUAACUAGCUGUUCGGGGUCUACGAUCCUGAGUGGCGCAGCUAACGCAUUAA
rnacentral:rRNA from 1 species